UUAAAAAAUUCAAAGACAAAAAUUUUACUAAACAAAACCAAUAAUGUUACUUUUGUCCAUCAUUAAAUUAAUAUUUUAUGUUCAAAUAUUUUCCUUAUAAAUGAGUGCUUUGAGUGAAUCAAGUUAGUUGAUAGAACAUAUUCCCGGAAAGAAAAAGAAAAAAAAAAACAAUCGAAAUGGCUACCACCUCGUGUCCUCAAGCUCGUCGCCAAAUCGUAGCUUUCAGGCGGAGCGGCGAUAAGAAAUAUCUCAGCGCCUCUUCGAUCAAUGGCCUAACUUAUCUGCAGUUCACUACCACUGAACUCAGCGACAAAUCUAUAGCACAUGAGUUGAUCGACGCUGGCGAUGGAUUAGUCCGCAUAAGAUCCAUUGCGACCGGACUUUUCUGGGAGCGCAGCCCCACAUCCAACUGGAUCUUUGCCUCCAACGACACCGAGAACGACAAUGAUCCUAAUACGCUGUUCCUUCCGGUGAAACUCGACGAGAACAAAGUUGCAUACCGCAAUCAAGGAAACCAAAUGUUCUGCAAGAGUCGUUCCCCGGACAGCAAGAGAGACUGUAUGAUUGCCUCCGCACCCGACCUGUCUGAUGUGGCGAUGCUGGAGCUGCUGGACAAGUCUGAAACACAGAAGCGCAUUUGUCGUAUCCUAUAAUCCUUCCAUCGCUGUCUUGCUUUAUAGAGCUUCUGGCAUAACAUUCAUGGAUUUCCGCCAAAUAUUAAAAAUGAACACUUACUCCCAGAGGAUAUGAUACUACCUACUUCUCGGUAAAUUUGGUGUAUCUUGUAAAAAUAAGGGAAUAUUACAAAUAUACAUGUAAUAUACAUUUUAUUUCUGUUUUUGUAAUAUAUACGGUAACCAUACGGUAAACUAAUACAAAUAUACGGCUAAAGCUUUAGCAGA